rnacentral:lncRNA from 1 species
UUUUUUUAUCAUAGAUUUGCUUGUAAGCAGAUAACACACCAUACACAUUCCUCUCUAUUAAUGAAAACCUUUCAGUGUUGGGGUGCAUGUUUUCAAACCUUUUAAGAGGCAUGUCGAGCAAAAGCGUCUGCUGAACCCCUCACUGAAUUUUCUUGGGGGUUCCUUUUCUUGUCUUGUGGUUUCCUUUUCUCUUGCCUCUUUUUUAGCUAUGCAUUCCUGUCCGGUUCCAACAACUCGUCGUCCGUCAGUUCCUUAGGAACCACCUCCAGGAGCUUCUCAACGUCGUUCUCACCCAGGUUAAAGUUGUUUGCCGUCUCAGCCACGGCCUUGUUGACUUUUGCAGCCUCCUCAUCCUUGGCAAAUCCUUUGGAGUCAUAUACGAACCUCCUGAGUGUCUUCUUCCAGAUGCCAUUCAUACACUCCUUGGUGACAUGACUCCAAGCCCAAGCAACGUUCUUGAUGUAGUCGUAGAUGUUGUAAUCCUUCCAGAACUGCAUCAGUGUCUUCCUCAUGUUACUGAACCAGAUCCUUUAACAGCUUCCAUCACUUUGUUCCUGUUCUUCAGGAUCGCAGCUGCGGUGGAAUGGGACAUGCCUGACUG